rnacentral:rRNA from 1 species
AGUGAACGCUGGCGGUAGGCCUAACACAUGCAAGUCGAACGGCAGCACAGUAAGAGCUUGCUCUUACGGGUGGCGAGUGGCGGACGGGUGAGGAAUACAUCGGAAUCUACUUUUUCGUGGGGGAUAACGUAGGGAAACUUACGCUAAUACCGCAUACGACCUACGGGUGAAAGCAGGGGAUCUUCGGACCUUGCGCGAUUGAAUGAGCCGAUGUCGGAUUAGCUAGUUGGCGGGGUAAAGGCCCACCAAGGCGACGAUCCGUAGCUGGUCUGAGAGGAUGGUCAGCCACACUGGAACUGAGAGACGGUCCAGCCUCCUACGGGACGCACCAGUCGGGAAUAUGGGAGAAUGGGCGCAAGCUUGAACCAGCCUUACCGCGUGAGUAAAAACGGCCUUCGGGUUCUAAAGCCCUUUUGUUGGGAAAAAAAAGCAGCGGGUUAAUACCCCGCUGUUAUGACGGGACCCAAAGGAUAAGCACCGGCCAACUUCGUG